GAUGAACGCUGGCGGCGUGCCUAAUACAUGCAAGUCGAGCGAACAGACGAGGAGCUUGCUCCUCUGACGUUAGCGGCGGACGGGUGAGUAACACGUGGAUAACCUACCUAUAAGACUGGGAUAACUUCGGGAAACCGGAGCUAAUACCGGAUAAUAUAUUGAACCGCAUGGUUCAAUAGUGAAAGACGGUUUUGCUGUCACUUAUAGAUGGAUCCGCGCCGCAUUAGCUAGUUGGUAAGGUAACGGCUUACGAAGGCAACGAUGCGUAGCCGACCUGAGAGGGUGAUCGGCCACACUGGAACUGAGACACGGUCCAGACUCCUACGGGAGGCAGCAGUAGGGAAUCUUCCGCAAUGGGCGAAAGCCUGACGGAGCAACGCCGCGUGAGUGAUGAAGGUCUUCGGAUCGUAAAACUCUGUUAUUAGGGAAGAACAAAUGUGUAAGUAACUAUGCACGUCUUGACGGUACCUAAUCAGAAAGCCACGGCUAACUACGUG
rnacentral:rRNA from 1 species